rnacentral:rRNA from 1 species
UGGGCAACCUGCCUGUAAGAUCGGAAUAACCCCGGGAAACCGGGGCUAAUGCCGGGUAAUACUUUCUUUCGCAUGAAGGAAAGUUGAAAGAUGGCUUCUUGCUAUCACUUACAGAUGGGCCCGCGGCGCAUUAGCUAGUUGGUGAGGUAACGGCUCACCAAGGCGACGAUGCGUAGCCGACCUGAGAGGGUGAUCGGCCACACUGGGACUGAGACACGGCCCAGACUCCUACGGGAGGCAGCAGUAGGGAAUCUUCCGCAAUGGACGAAAGUCUGACGGAGCAACGCCGCGUGAACGAUGAAGGUCUUCGGAUCGUAAAGUUCUGUUGUUAGGGAAGAACAAGUACCGUGCGAAUAGAGCGGUACCUUGACGGUACCUAACGAGGAAGCCCCGGCUAACUACGUGCCAGCAGCCGCGGUAAUACGUAGGGGGCAAGCGUUGUCCGGAAUUAUUGGGCGUAAAGCGCGCGCAGGCGGUUCCUUAAGUCUGAUGUGAAAGCCCACGGCUCAACCGUGGAGGGUCAUUGGAAACUGGGGAACUUGAGGACAGAAGAGGAGAGUGGAAUUCCACGUGUAGCGGUGAAAUGCGUAGAUAUGUGGAGGAACACCAGUGGCGAAGGCGACUCUCUGGUCUGUUUCUGACGCUGAGGUGCGAAAGCGUG